UCUGUAACAGGCUGCUGCUGAGCAGUGAGUGGAAGGCAGGACUGCGUAGGAGUGGCUGCGUGUGAUGCUGCAGUGUGUCCAGGCAGGCAUUUGAGCAGGCCAGGCUUUAAUCACCAUCGCCUGAACUGCAGAUGUGUACAUGGAUGGGAUUUCCAAAAGCACUUGGUAUUGGUCCAUGUUUAUUUUGGCAGAAGCAAUCCCACCUUGUGAAGCAGUAUGUGCUGGUGUUUACCCAGCAGCUCUCACAAACUGCUAGAAAACAACCUGUAGCUGUGGGAUGUAGUGUUUGGUGCAGAACCACUCAGAGAUGCUUUCACAGCAGGAACUUGAGCUUUGGCUACAUAUAGGAACAAGGGGUGGGACUGGAAUGCACUUUUGAACUCCUUCAAGCACGGUAUAUGCUGAGAAGAAAAGUUCCAGAGAACAGGAGCUGUGCUUAAACUUGAGAUAACUUUGGUGAAUAGUUCUUGGCUGAAAGACAAAAUGGAAAAUUUAAAUGUUCUCUGUAGAUUGUUUCAGGAUUAAACAUCUUGAAUUUUUGUUUCAAAAUGCUCUCCCUUCUGGCAAUUCUCUCAAAACUUCUGGUCAUAUAAAUCUGAGUUAUUGAAGAUGGUGCUUGAGGACUCCUGUCAGAAUAAUACUUUGUUUAAUUGGAAAAAAUUUUUAAGCUCUAUUUGGUUGAAAAUCUCUGAAGUUUUCCUUUGGAAUGUAGCUUGAAAGAAAUGAUUUUCUUUCAGCUUAUUAUUUCUCGCUCAGCAGUCUGUACAGAAAGUGCUUUGCAAGUACCCAAAGGGGAUGAUGGGAAGUUGAAAAAGAGAAGAAAUCCACAAAUAAAAGGCUCAGUGGUGGUAAGCGAGCUCCUCAGCAUAGCAGCACUCAGGGUCCAGAUAGGAUUGCUUGUGCUGAGCUGCCUGUGCCCUCCUGGCAGCAUCAACCUGUGGGUCUGGUGUGUGUUGUUCUAGGGACAGAUAGAUAGAUAGAUAAAUAGAUAGACAGAUAUAGCGGAGGAGGGCAUAUAGUCUGCACUGAUGUAAAGUGGGAGUGGGGGCCUCCCUCAUAGAAUCAUUAAGGCUGGAAAAGACCUCUAAGAUCAUCCAACCCAACCGCAGCCCACCCCUACCAUACCCACUGACCAUGUCUCUCAGUACCACAUCUACACGGUUCUUGAACACCUCCAGGGACGGUGACUCCACCACCUCCCUGGGCAGCCUGUGCCAGUGCCCUCAGCUCCAUUGCCAUAGAGGAGAGGUGACAGCUGCAGGACAUGAGCCCACAGUGUGGACUGAGGGGGAAUGGUGUUGUGCUCCCACCACAACAUGGCCGCAUUCCCACCAUGACAUGGCCGCCAGAGGCAGGCAGCACUGCCCUGGGGCAGGAGCAAGGCCUCAAACCCAGAAGCAGCAGUUCCACCCAUUUUGCAGAGAGAAACAGCUCUCGGUCCUCUCAGCUCCCAACAGACUUGGUUUUCCAUUCUCUUCAAAGGAGGAUGUGGUGCCUCUCUCACUGCCCUCGGAAAAACCCUUCACAUCCUCCAAGGAGGUGUAAGAGCAGAACCAUUGUAACUGGGAAAUGAAUUAGUUACUUUCUGGGUUUGGCAGCUUCCUGUUUCGGAAACAUGAGAUAACAGCUCCAAUUUCUCUUUGCUGUCAGCUUAGAAGGGAACCCAGGGCUGCACACCCCCUCGCGUGGCAGCGGCCCAUUUGCUAAUUGUCCCUUCCAGGCAAUGCCACUUACACUGACAGACCCACCUCUAACCCACACCACCCAGAAAAUCACUAUGGCCCUGAACUCCCAUCCUUCUGAAACAGCACCCGGCACCACGCGCUCAGCCGACGUGUUCUGGCUUCUCUCAUGGCACAACAAAAGAGAGGACUGCUUGUUGCUGAUUAAUUUGUGAACAUGCCAGUUUCCAGACAUAAGUCUGGUAUCGCAGGCAGCUGCAUUAAUGAAAAAGAUGUCUGAUUUGCCACAGAUGAUAUAAUGGAUCUCUGCUUCAAGGACUGUGCUGCCCUUUGAAAGUUAAUGAGAGCCGGGUGCGGCACUGGCAUUGCCAUGGGCAUGCUGCAGGAGAAUGGUCCUGGUGCUGUCACAAUGCAUUUGGCUCCCCGGCUGUGGUGCGAGGUGGAGAAUUCAGGUUCAGAGCAACCUUUGCAGCCAGGAUGCAAUCAGAGGUCUGCUCCACAAUCUGGUUUUGUGUGUUCCUGUCAGAAGAGCUGGUAAUGCUGGGCUUUGCCUCUGUGAGAGUUUUUAGGUAAAGAAAAUGUCUUCUUUACAAUUUUGUGAUUCCUCUUUUGCUUCUUUAGGACACGUCUCUAUGCAUGUCAUUUCUGCUCUGUAAAUGUGAGAUGUUCUGCCCCAUCUGCACAGUUAGCUGGCCUGCCUACCUGCUUGCCUUCCAGCCAAAGGAUCCAACUGCUACACCAGCUUUACACAGGAUCAGAGCUGGAAGGGUUCAGCUCAGCAGAUUCAGGGGAAUGACCUGCAAGGGUAUUUCCUCUGUAAUUCAACACUUGCAUGAUCUGGAGCACUGAGAAAACCUUUGGGUUUGGCCCUUCAGCUGGUGGACCUGUGAUGUUUUUGGCUUUGAUAUGCUGCUCUUAAUUUUGGAAAUAACAUCAGAAGAAAUUGGUUGGACAGCCAGAGCUCGGUUAAAUGCUACAGUGGCUGCAAAUGGCAAAUACACAAACCAGCGAUAGAUACCUACUUCUACCUUCUCUAAUAGCAGUCUUUAAAGAUCAGUGGGUUAUGAGCAUUUUAUUUUCUCUGUUCCAGAGUGGCUCAGGCACACUGAGGAGGAUGUGGCACCUCCUGAGGGAUGUGUUUGAAGACAGAGCCAAUGUUGCUGCUUCCCUGCAAGUGAGCAUAUGGGCAGCAGCAGUGCUUCCCAUCACCUCCCUCACUGCUCAUGGAAUGCUGAACAUCCCAGUGUCACACCAGGUAUGAAACCAAGGCUCUGGCUUUUUAAGAAGGCCCUUUGAAGCCUGCCCAACAGACUGACGUGUGAAUGCUCUGGAAGCUCUUGAAUGAAGACAGUUAUUUCCAAACAGCCACAGGAGUAACUGACUGUAGCAAACGGAUGAUUAAUGGCAUCAUGGCCAAAGUAAGGAUCAUUUUUAUUCAUCUGGUGAGAGUGUCUUACAAGAAGAAGAAAUGUUAGAUUACAUGGAAUAACAACAGCCACAACCAUGUUA